CAGUAACCCCCAUGUCCACACCGACAGCUGCAUUAAACUCUUUGACAAAGCAGUUAGUUACUUUGAUCAGAAUAAUCCAUUUGCCCUAUCUCAGGGACCUUUCACCUGAAGCUUUUUCUGAACAGGGGAGAGGGGCGGGUAGACCCAUUUGUUUGGAUGAGAGCUGUCCAUUUCUCCUAUCCCAGGCAAGCUUGCCCUGUCUCCUUCCUGUCAGCCUUUGUUAGCCUUGACCCUUUAAUCAUUUGGGAUGCUCCUAGAGACAUUAGGAUUUUAGUCUGUCCUUGAGAAAACACUGGACCCUUCCUGCUUCCCAUUUUCAUGAUGAAGGAGAAACUCUUCUACAGGAGCCAAUUUGAUGAGACGAAUUCCAGAAUUCGAGCAGUUAAAUGAGAAAUCACAUUUGCCACCUGGUCUGGAGUGGGGCCAGGGGAGACCGUUGGUGAAGUGACUGGCACACAAGCAAGAAGACCUGACAACCCACAUAAACACCCAGGAGUGUGAGGUGGCAUGCUUGUAGCCCAACUGCUGGGGUAAGGACAGGUAGGUCCCUGUCCCACCUAGCCUGUUCAGUGAGCUUCAGGCCAGUGAGACACUGUCUCCAGAAGGAGAGCCUUCAUCCAGCAGCUGAUGGAAGUAGAAGCAGACAGCCACAGCUAAACACUGAACUGAACUGGAAUCCAGUUGCAGAGAAGGAGAAGUGAUGAGAAAAGGGGUCAAGACCAGUCUGGUGAAACCCACAGAAACAGCUGACCUGAACAAGGGGGAGCUCCUGGCCCCCCAGACUGAUCACUGGAAAAUGGCAUGGAACUGAUCCAGACCCCAUGAAUGUGGAUGUCAGUGUGGAGGCCUUGGAAAUCUAUGGGGUCUCUUGUAGUGGAUCAGUAUUUAUCCCUAGAGUUAGAAUGGACUUUGGGAGCCCAUUUCACAUAGAGGGAUACUCCCUCAGCCUACACACAUGGGGGAGGGCCUAGGCCCUAUCCCAAAGGAUAUGACAGACUCUGAAGAACCCCCAUGGAAGACCUCACUCUCCAUGGGAGCAGAAUUGGUAGGGUGUUAGUGGAG
rnacentral:lncRNA from 1 species